UCAUGGCUCAGGAUGAACGCUAGCUACAGGCUUAACACAUGCAAGUCGAGGGGAAACGACAUCGAAAGCUUGCUUUUGAUGGGCGUCGACCGGCGCACGGGUGAGUAACGCGUAUCCAACCUGCCCACCACUUGGGAAUAACCUUGCGAAAGUAAGACUAAUACCCAAUGAUAUCUCUAGAAGACAUCUGAAGGAGAUUAAAGAUUUAUCGGUGAUGGAUGGGGAUGCGUCUGAUUAGCUUGUUGGCGGGGUAACGGCCCACCAAGGCGACGAUCAGUAGGGGUUCUGAGAGGAAGGUCCCCCACAUUGGAACUGAGACACGGUCCAAACUCCUACGGGAGGCAGCAGUGAGGAAUAUUGGUCAAUGGGCGAGAGCCUGAACCAGCCAAGUAGCGUGCAGGAUGACGGCCCUAUGGGUUGUAAACUGCUUUUAUAAGGGAAUAAAGUGAGAGUCGUGACUCUUUUUGCAUGUACCUUAUGAAUAAGGACCGGCUAAUUCCGUGCCAGCAGCCGCGGUAAUACGGAAGGUCCGGGCGUUAUCCGGAUUUAUUGGGUUUAAAGGGAGCGUAGGCCGGAGAUUAAGCGUGUUGUGAAAUGUAGAUGCUCAACAUCUGCACUGCAGCGCGAACUGGUUUCCUUGAGUACGCACAAAGUGGGCGGAAUUCGUGGUGUAGCGGUGAAAUGCUUAGAUAUCACGAAGAACUCCGAUUGCGAAGGCAGCUCACUGGAGCGCAACUGACGCUGAAGCUCGAAAGUGCGGGUAUCGAACAGGAUUAGAUACCCUGGUAGUCCGCACGGUAAACGAUGGAUGCCCGCUGUUGGUCUGAAUAGGUCAGCGGCCAA
rnacentral:rRNA from 1 species